GACUGAUCAGAGUGUAGUAUUAUUUACAACUAAUUGGUCACAUCCAGUUACAGAUUUAUUUGUUCCUCCUCUACUCCCGCUGCUUCCCUUUGGUAGUCUUAA
ensembl:misc_RNA Y_RNA Y RNA